UACGUAGGGUGCAAGCGUUAAUCGGAAUUACUGGGCGUAAAGCGUGCGCAGGCGGUUCUGCAAGUCAGAUGUGAAAGCCCCGGGCUUAACCUGGGAAUUGCAUUUGAAACUACAGGGCUAGAGUGUGUCAGAGGGAGGUAGAAUUCCACGUGUAGCAGUGAAAUGCGUAGAGAUGUGGAGGAAUACCGAUGGCGAAGGCAGCCUCCUGGGAUAACACUGACGCUCAUGCACGAAAGCGUGGGGAG
rnacentral:rRNA from 1 species